rnacentral:rRNA from 1 species
UACGUAGGGUGCAGGCGUUAAUCGGAAUUACUGGGCGUAAGGCGUGCGCAGGCGGUCUGCUAAGAGAGAUGUGAAAUCCCCGGGCUUAACCUGGGAACUGCGUUUCUAACUGGCAGGCUUGAGUGUGGCAGAGGGGGGUGGAAUUCCACGUGUAGCAGUGAAAUGCGUAGAGAUGUGGAGGAACACCGAUGGCGAAGGCAGCCCCCUGGGCUAACACUGACGCUCAUGCACGAAAGCGUGGGGAGCAAACAGG